rnacentral:rRNA from 1 species
CAGUCGCCGCGGUAAUGCGAAGGGGGCUAGCGUUGCUCGGAAUCACUGGGCGUAAAGGGUGCGUAGGCGGGUCUUUAAGUCAGGGGUGAAAUCCUGGAGCUCAACUCCAGAACUGCCUUUGAUACUGAAGAUCUUGAGUUCGGGAGAGGUGAGUGGAACUGCGAGUGUAGAGGUGAAAUUCGUAGAUAUUCGCAAGAACACCAGUGGCGAAGGCGGCUCACUGGCCCGAUACUGACGCUGAGGCACGAAAGCGUGGGGAGCAAACAGGAUUAGAUACCCGAGUAGUCCCUGUCUCUUAUAC